GUAGAACCUGAUGCUUGACAUAUAGUUUGCGGUAAAUAUUUGUAAAAUGAAUGCAAACUGGUUCCAACAAGGGAAAGAACCGGAAGUUCUUCCUGAUCAAGAUUCUGAAUUCAACCUUACAUUUACUGGCAUUUCCAAAGCUAUGACAUCUUCAAUUCCUUAUGCUACAAAAUCCUUUUGGCAGAGGAGGAUCCAGAGGUACAAUGAACACCCCAAGUCCUCAUUUCCUCCCACUCCAACUCUUUCAGAAUAUUCCAGUUUCUUUUGGACCCCAUAAAUUUCCAGCAUCUGUAUUAAAAAACUCUGAAAUAAGUUAGACUAUUUUUAAAAAGCUCUUUUUUUUGAUUUUACAAAACCUCCAAACUGUAUUUUCCAAGCACAAUUAAAUAUAUUGCGAUCUCAAGCAGAUCAAACAACCUAUUGUGGUUUACACAGUAAAAUGGCGAAUAUCACUGUGUGGGGCAGGUUCAAAUUUGUCCAGCCAGCCCUCAGAAACAACUUGCUUCUGCAGCCACCUGGAUCAAGUUU
rnacentral:lncRNA from 1 species